CAUUCCAGUUACUUCCCUUGUAUCAUUUUUAGCCAAUCAGAUCAUCGUUUUGAAUUUCCCUCCAAGUGUGUAUUGAGUUCAUGACUUUUGAGUGAGUUAAAAAGUCUAAAGUUUGAGAAAAGUUGAAUUUUUGGAGGCCAGAUAUAUUUUAAUUUGUUUUAAGGAUAUUGGAUUAAUAUUAUGCACCCAGUCACUGUGUGAAUGAUGUGUUGAUUGCCAGGUGUACAUUGUAGUUAGGUGUUUGAUAUGUUGAUUGUAAAGCAUACAAUUCCACAAAUUGUGUGCAGACUUGUUAACUAUUGUUGAUUCAGAUCAUUUGAUAUUGAGCAACAAGUGGAACUGUGUUAUUGACAGUAUACCUGAAAGGAACUUUCUGGUUUGAAUAACAGUAGAGUGGUUUUAUAUAUUAAUGUGAUUUAAUAUCAGAUUACACAGUGACAGUGAACUUUUAAUAAAUUAUAUAUCAUACGAACCAAAACCUAUUUGGAUUUGUUGUUACUUUAAUUUAACAACUGCAAAUACCAAAAGGUAACAUAAGAAUCCCUCUUUGCGCAGUCGGUUAAGAUAUUUCACUUCAAUAAUAUAGGCGUAAACUCGAAGGUUCGAGUACUGGGUCGUCAUCUUUUAUUUCUUUUUUAUUUUCAUUUUAAAACUGUCAUUCUCAUAAAACUCGUGGAAACCGUUUCUUGUCUGUAUAAUUUCAUUAUGUGUAUACUGUGUUAUUAUUUCAAUUUAUAUUUUAAAUUUCAUCAUUAAACCAGAUGUAGUUAAACGAUUUGAAAUACUUGCAAGUAAUUUAAAAAAAGAAAAUGUGUAUCUUCAUAACGUGGUGUUGGUUAGGAAUCGAACCUUAGACCGCCACUGACCUGUGAACUAAACAAAUAUACUGAUAUUUUCGUUUAAUACCGGUCAGUGUUACUCCAAUGACCUAUACGAAAGAUUAAUGAAGUGGCCGGUGAAUACUGAUGGACAAUAACUUUCAUACACCUUUAUCACACGAAUUUAUCGCUACAUUUGUUAACUUCACACGUCGGUGAGGUGUGGUGUAUUGGUAAAGAUACCGGGCUACUGAUCUUUGGUUCGAUUUUUUACCAAAACCACGUUAUGAAGACAAACUUCUCGAGUGUGUGUGUGUGUGUGUGUGUGUUUUCUUAAUUUUGCAAGAAAUUAUUUGAAAUUGCUGUACUGCAUCUGGUUUAGGGCAUCUUGUAGUAGUAGUGUUGUUUUUGUAUAAUCGAUAUGUUUUCGUAAAUACUCAAAUGUACGGAAAAUCGCAAAUCUUUCUUAAGCAUAGUUUUCAAUUGCAUAAUGCAAUUGUAUAUGCUUAAGCACAUACACACUUUAUAAAACGGUUUGGGCGAGUUUUAGGAGGAUGGCAAUUUUAAAACUAAAAGAAAAGAAAUGACUGCCUCAACAGGAUUCGAACAUACGAACUUUCUUAAAGUGAAAGACCUUUAGCGAAAGCGCUAAGAGGGAUUCUUAAUGGAAACCAUUUCACAACUGGUUAUAUACAUUUAUAUCGAUUUGAAGUAGAUCGUAACGUUUACGGGAUUUAC